CCUACGGGAGGCAGCAGUGAGGAAUAUUGGGCAAUGGGCGCAAGCCUGAACCAGCGAAGUCGCGUGAGGGAUGAAGGUUCUAUGGAUCGUAACCCUCUUUUAUAAGGGAAUAAAGUGUGGGACGUGUCCUAUUUUGUAUGUACCUUAUGAGUAAGGAUCGGCUAACUCCGUGCCAGCAGCCGCGGUAAUACGGAGGGUCCGAGCGUUAUACGGAUUGAUUGGGUUUAAGGGGUGCGUAGGCGGCCUUUUAAGUCAGCGGUGAAAGCCUGUGGCUCAACCAUAGAAUUGCCGUUGAAACUGGUGGGCUUGAGUAUGUUUGAGGCAGGCGGAAUGCGAGGUGUAGCGGUGAAAUGCUUAGAUAUCACGCAGAACCCCGAUUGCGAAGGCAGCCUGCUAAGCCAUGACUGACGCUGAUGCACGAAAGCGUGGGUAUCGAACAGGAUUAGAUACCCUUGUAGUC
rnacentral:rRNA from 1 species